rnacentral:rRNA from 1 species
CCUACGGGGGGCAGCAGUGGGGAAUAUUGGACAAUGGGCGAAAGCCUGAUCCAGCCAUGCCGCGUGUGUGAAGAAGGCCUUCGGGUUGUAAAGCACUUUCAGUGGGGAAGAAAGCCUUGGGGCUAAUACCCUCGAGGAAGGACAUCACCCACAGAAGAAGCACCGGCUAACUCCGUGCCAGCAGCCGCGGUAAUACGGAGGGUGCGAGCGUUAAUCGGAAUUACUGGGCGUAAAGCGCGCGUAGGCGGUCUGAUAAGCCGGUUGUGAAAGCCCCGGGCUCAACCUGGGAACGGCAUCCGGAACUGUCAGGCUAGAGUGCAGGAGAGGAAGGUAGAAUUCCCGGUGUAGCGGUGAAAUGCGUAGAGAUCGGGAGGAAUACCAGUGGCGAAGGCGGUCUUCAGGACUGACACUGACGCUGAGGUGCGAAAGCGUGGGUAGCAAACAGGAUUAGAUACCCGAGUAGUC